rnacentral:rRNA from 1 species
UUUGAUUACCAAUAAAAGGUCCAGCCUGCCCAGUGACUUUGUUCAACGGCCGCGGUAUCCUAACCGUGCGAAGGUAGCGUAAUCACUUGUUCUUUAAAUGAGGACUAGUAUGAACGGCAUCACGAGGGUUAUACUGUCUCCUCCCUUUAAUCAGUGAAACUGAUCUUCCCGUGAAGAAGCGGGAAUAAAUCUAUAAGACGAGAAGACCCUAUGGAGCUUUAAACACACUACAAUUGCCUCACUCUAUGUUAAUCUCUGGAAAACCACUUAUUCAGGCACUUUGAUAGCAAGUUUUAGGUUGGGGUGACCGCGGAGCAAAAAACAACCUCCACAGCGAACAGGGCUUUCCCUUAAACUCAGGACUACAACCCUAAGAAUCAACAAAUUGACACCCAUUGACCCAAUUUUUGACCAACGAAC